UACGUAGGGGGCUAGCGUUGUCCGGAAUCAUUGGGCGUAAAGAGCGCGUAGGCGGCUAGAUAAGUCCGGUGUGAAAGUCACAGGCUCAACCUGUGAAUGCCGCUGGAAACUGUCUGGCUAGAGUCCGGAAGGGGCGAGUGGAAUUCCUGGUGUAGCGGUGGAAUGCGCAGAUAUCAGGAGGAACACCAAUAGCGAAGGCAGCUCGCUGGGACGUUACUGACACUGAGGCGCGAAAGCGUGGGGAGCGAACAGG
rnacentral:rRNA from 1 species